ACUCCUACGGGAGGCAGCAGUGGGGAAUAUUGCACAAUGGGCGCAAGCCUGAUGCAGCCAUGCCGCGUGUGUGAAGAAGGCCUUCGGGUUGUAAAGCACUUUCAGUUGUGAGGAAAGGUUAGUCGCUAAUAUCGGCUAGCUGUGACGUUAGCAACAGAAGAAGCACCGGCUAACGUCCGUGCCAGCAGCCGCGGUAAUACGGAGGGUGCGAGCGUUAAUCGGAAUUACUGGGCGUAAAGCGCGUGUAGGUGGCUUGUUAAGCCAGAUGUGAAAGCCCCGGGCUCAA
rnacentral:rRNA from 1 species